GCCCGGGUGGCGGAAUUGGUAGACGCGCACGAUUCAGGUUCGUGUAAGCCUAGCUUGUGGAGGUUCGAGUCCUCUCCCGGGCACCA
rnacentral:tRNA from 1 species